UCAUUUCUCCUUACCCUGGCAAGGGUUGAAGUUUGGCAGCAUACUGAUGAAAAAAGAAAUUACGUGAAUGGCAGAAAAGACAAGAGUGAUCCUAGCACGGUUGGCUAGGCACAGAGAGAUGAUACACAAUGACUUCAUUAAAAUUUCUUUCCUGCCAAAGGGAUGCAAUAAGAUGGGUAGAGGAUGUUUUCAUUUCAACAUAUAUGCUAAUUGCCACUCUACUCUCAGGAAAACAUCGCAUGAAGAAAAUGCAGCCUUCGUUGAAGACCAGGGAAGUCUGUUCUGAAUUCCUGAGCUUCAUGAAAGAUUCUCGGGGUAGUUUGUUAUUCUUUUAGCCUUAAUGGAACUUUUGUACUUGGAAAAUGUUUCAUGGCUACGUGUUCCUUCAUGCUCCCACUUCAAGGAAGACCUCUUAACCCUCCCUAGUCACUCUAAACCCCUGCCUGCCACUUCCAUGAUUUCCCUGCUGGUGAAAAGCAGAUCCAGAAAAGCCUGCCUUCCAGAUGUGUUUUCUAAAAUUAACCCACAACACCUGCUGGGAAGUCUGGUUGAGAUUCCUCAAACCCAACAGAGAUUCAUGUUGCAAUACAAAACGACAGGGAGAAUAAAGCAUGGUGGCUGCCUGCAGGUAUCACCUUCUCAGCAUUGCUGUCCAUCAGGCAGAGAAGGUUAAGACCUCACCAGGUUCUCUGAGCUUACACAAGCCACGUUCAAGGGAAGUGAGAGCCAAAAGCCGUUACAGCAUUGAUCCCAAGGCUGUUGUCAGUGUUGGAACAGGUCCCAGUUGAAUGUAAUUUCUUCUUAGCACAAGGACUCACAUCUUGGGAACAAAACCAAAUGCUGUCAGACUGUAAGACAAUUGACUUUUCUGGUUACAAUGUAAUUAAUGCUAUUUAAAUCUCAGAAAAGAAAGCAAAGGAACCACAAAAGGUUCAAGUUUAGGACUAUGCACCUUUCUUUCACUACCUAUCUCAAGGGAAGUGAAUCCAUUAGAAAUAUGGCUCCAGAUGCCAAAACCAAUAAAAAUGCAUACUUUAAGGUCUAGCCAAAUUGUGGUUAAAAUUAUUUCUCUGUGGAUCACACUCACUCAUUAAUUUUAAGACUGGACGUUCUCCAAACUCUGUGGUUGCUUUGCAACAAGGGGUAAGAUCCCAGUGAUUAGAUGCCUUACAUUUUACUAUUUUUUCUAAUAUAUCCAGUUGAAUCAAAAUUAGGAUUUCAGAACUCUGUUGCUUUCUGAAGGAAAAGCAAAGGAGUAAUGUAAACCUGUUGAAAAUGCACACAAGCAUUCAAAAUAGAGUAAAGCAGUUUAGAUUAUAUAAAUCAAUACAGCUCAAUGGUUUGUAUCAUGUAUAUGUGAUGUGGUCUUCUAGGAUUUUCAUUUUAAUAGGUAGAAAAGUGCUGCGCUCAAAUGCUUUCAACAUAAUUAAAUUCAUAGGAAAUAAUUUCAUUUCAAUACGGGUUGGCAGGAAAAGAUGAUUCUUUUGGAGAACAUAGGAAAAGGGGCACACGAAAGACUUGCACUUUCAUAUAAAACAUUGUGAAGUGCCCUAUUCUUCAGAGGCAUUUGCAUAAAGAAACCGGUAAACAAACCAGCAGAACAGUGUGCUUCCAAAGCAAAAAUAAUCCUUUUUGAAAGACCAUCCAUGAAAUUAAAAUCUUAUGUUAAAAGACACUACAGAAAAGCAUAAGGAAGGCUUGUAGUUACUUUGAAAAUUGUUGAGGUUUGGUUUUUUUUUUUCUUUAAAUAUUGAUCCAGCAGAAGCAAUUUAUAUUUUAAACUCCAAAAGAAUACUGUGAAUAGAAAUAUAGGUGUCUCUGUUGAGAAGCAUAGUAAUUUUAUGGCAAACUUAUUUUACAGAUUAUUUUAGGAUAUGCCUUUUUUGGAGAGACCAAAAUUAUAUUAAGCUUAUGUUUAAAAGCCUGAGAUGAUACUUUACUCAGGACUUUUUCUAUAAUAUUCUUUGACUGCUGCUUGCAAUCUUUGUAUUGUAUGGGAAAAUGGCCUUUCAGGUAAUCUAAAGAUGCUCGGUCACAUUAAAAUAUUACAAUCUUAAGCUAAAAUCUUCUUAAAGAAGAUUAAGCUUUUGCUCAGAAAAUUGAUCACUGCAAUGCAGGGAGUAUCUUUACAACUAACCACCUUCUUAUACUCCUAAGCUUUUAUACCCUUAAACACUUCUUAACAUCUGCUGAUGGCUACUAUGGUAGAAAGGACACUAGAUUAAAUAGGUCUUGAUCUGACUGGUGUUGAUUUCUGCACAGCAGACCUCCUGGCCCUGCUGAGGUCAGUGUUAAAAUUCCCACACAGAGUAGGUGAACUCUCAGGUAGUCCUGGGAUGAUUUCUGGGGUGUCUGUGCAUUCAGGAUACGAUACGAGCUGAAUGCUACUGGCACCACAAGCAAGCAGCAGCGUAACCAUGUUGCACUUGGACAAACGAAGGAUCAUCCUCUCCUCUCCCAUUUGAAAGAAAAUUCAGAUGUGUCUCCUUUCCUUGCAAAAUCACCUGUGAGCUCACUCCCCAGGUUGGUGUAAAUCCCCCAGAUGCCACUGGGCUAUAACUGGUAUGACUCCAGUACCAACCUCUCCUGACCCCGUACCUGCCUGGGCUGUCCCCACCUUCCCUUGUCCUGGGUCCGGUGCCUGGUCAGCAGCUCCACAACAUUUUCGUGUUGCGGAUACUCCAUUGCUGUGCCACUAGCUCCAAUGGAGGCUAGCCCAGACACCUUUCUCAUGUACCCCAUCCCUUCUGUUGCUGUAAAAAUGACAUUAACUCAAACGGGGUGAGUUAAAUUUGGAUUCUCAUGCUCAUCUUUGAACAGCCAGACUUUAGUCGGUUUAAGGAAGACCUUUUAUAUUACUUUCCUGUAUCUCUGGUGGUAUUAUUUCCUUUGCCUUUUUUUUUUUUAGCCCCACAGGUUUUUAAAAACUGAAAAAAUGUCAUAACUAUCAUUACACAUCAAAUAAUAUGCAAAGUAUCCUCCACAAAGCUGUGCAAAUAAUUGUGUAUAUGUGUCAAAUGCUUGAUUGCUUCUUAGGAACUGUUACAGCCUGUGAAAUAAUGGCUGGAUAUUUUAAAAUCUUUCAUUCUCUUGAUACUCUAGGAAGUAUUUUUUAUGUAAAUUGACUGUACAAAGUUAUUUUACUUUCAAUAUAGAUUAUCAAAUACAUUAAAAUUGAACUAAAUUAUUUUGGGCAUGAAGAUAGGCAGUGGGCUUUAAUUUCCAGAAGGGGGCAUUAUAGACCCCAACUGGAUCCUGUCAAUGUACUGAUGGUUGUUGAAGUUAUUGGACCAUAUGAAACUCCCUAUAAGGCUAGGCUACAGGUGUUUUGACUAAUUUUUUUAUUUCCAUUUUCCAGGUGGGUGAACCACAGGGCUUUUAUGAAAAAGGAAAAUCUUAAACAGCUAAUUAGACCAAGGCAUUCUAAAGAAACAAAUCCUUUAGCUAAACCAUUUAGGAAAGAUUUGCUCACUAAUGUUUCAAGUGCUGCAGGUUUUCAGUUCCCCUCUUGCAAGAGCUCCCUUGCAGGUAUACAUGUGAAUAGCGAGCUUUAUGGCACUUCAGAAAGGACAGCCAAACCCAGAAAUGCUUAGGAUCACCAACCUUUUCUGACAGGCUUUGCUGGAAGUUGUCAUCCCAAAUGGUAGGUAGCAGUACUCCAUAAUGCUGGGGCAAGAAGCACUCACAGUGAUUUCCAUUAGUGUGCAGCAUGGGAUGUAGGUAAUAUGGAGGACUCUAAAAGCCUGCAUGGGAAUGUAUUGCCCCAGAUGUGCUUAAAGCACUGAUUUAAGUUUCAGCCCUGCAAACCUUGUGCUUGUGUUUAAUUUUAAAGAUACAAGUAAGUUCUAUUUAUGUCAAUAUACAGAGCAUCCAUUUAGAAACUGUAAAUCUGAUAGCAGCCUUUUUUAGCUUUUGUUUUUAAGUUUGUAUAUCUCUAUUACUGAGCAGAUUGUAAAACCCAGUUGACGUUGAGUCAUUUUUUCCAGCACUUAUUUUUAUUUUGUUAGUUGGAACAGUAUGGCCACAGGAUGGAAAGUUGAACAUCUCUCUACUACAGACUCAAGCUGGAUGAUUUAUGAGCAAUGUGUGGGCUGCACUCCCCCCAGGAAGAAACGCGGGUGCUUCUGCUGACUCAGUCCUAGCCAGAGUCCCCUGAACGCACUGGAGCCACCUGAUUCUUGGAGAGCCUGGAAGUCAUUUCCAGCCUAGUGUGUUUCAUUUUGAAGUUUAGUCAAACGGCGCAGCCAGAUGGAGCAGUAGAUUGUCCUGGAGAAAACAACAUCUCAAAGUGGAACUUUAAAUAAAAUAGAGAGAAAACUAGGAAAGGAGGGAGGAGGCUAACUUUGACAUGUCCCUAGAGAAGCAAAAACUUUAUAUCAAAUGCCAGAGUGAUAUGAGCAGCUGGAAGGACGGGAUUCGAGGACUGAACUUUUGGGUGGAGUUUUGGGGGUCAAAGGAAUAUUUCUGCAAGCCACUCCACCUGUCAGUAACCAGUCUGAACCCACCUGCCUUUCUACUGGGAGUGCCCUGAAAACUUCAUGUUAGCCUGUUAGCCUUUUCUAAACUGCACUUCAGGUCUUCUGACACCACACUCGAGCCACAAUCUUGGAGCUUCUGCCAUUAAUAUGUUAAGCAGCUUCUUGGAUUUGAUGGCCGGGAGGGCCCGCAAGGACCAGUGAGGAUAGCUGGUGGGUACCUCUCCACUCUAACAGAAUUCUUCUUUGAAUUCUUGCCUGCCCCUUACAAAAACCUAGAUUUAAAAAAUUCCCACAUGGGGAGGAUUCACCAGUAGCCUUGACACGUUGUACCAGGUAUUAGUUAUCCUUGCUGUUAAAAUAUGUCCAGUCUCUUUGAUAACUUGUCUGUAAGCUGUUUCCAACCUGCCACAAGUAGAUGCUUGCCCUUUUGCUUCAGAGUUGAAGAAAGGAGUCAACCUGAGAAGUGGUCACGUUUUCCUACCUCCAUGUCAACUUCUCUGCUUGGGCAUUACCACCUUCAUUCAGCCUCAUCCAGGCAGAAAACUCCUUAGAGGCAGGGAUGGACCUGCCUCCUGAGGUGUGCUGUGGCACCUGAGUGACAUGGCCCAGUGCAACAUCAGACAAAUACUCCAAAUAAUUCUGAAUUACCUACCAGCUUAUUUAUCAGGAGCAAUAUUAUUCUAAGACAGUGCUGCCUCCACCUAAGUCACCUGCCCAUAAAGUUUUCUAUAGACAAGCUAACCUUACAGCCCACUGCCCCGCUUGCUGGGUCAUCAGGGUGAGCUGGGCAGGAGGCAAAGCGUGAAGGGGUGCUUUGGGUGGUGCUCACCAUGGCUGCACACAAGACGAAGUGCAGAGAGUGAAUGCUGCCUUACAGCAUGCCAGAAGGAGCAGUCAGGGGAACAUCUGGAAAGAGGUAGGAACUGAGGAGCAAUGGGAUCCAUUCUAGGACAUGGCACACUGCUUACACUGACAGCAUUCAGAUAGCCUCCAUAACGGGCAUCUUUUCAGCUCUGCAGAGCCCGUUUGAGUGAAUAGUAGUAGGUUUUUUUCUAUUUGUUUUUAUCUUGUGUAACUGGAUUUUUAACUAGUUGUAAGUAUAUCUGUUUACUGAAGCCUGUCUUCUAAAAGAAUAAUUUAUCUGUAUUAAACUUCCUUCAGUGCUUAGCCAAUGGGUCUAAUUUGGCCACAUAUAUUUUCAGACACUCUCAAUGUUUAUUUUACAGAGCUAUAUGUUUGCAGAUCCUAUUUUACUGUCUAAUAGCACUGGAUCUUAUCCAUCUCUCUCGUCAUCUUAUUUUUUCUCCGAAAAACUCACUGUACAAUUUCCAAAUUCCUAAUUUCAUCCUGAUGUAGUCAUUGCAAGGCUCCUGCCUGGGGAACAAUGAGAGAGUGAGUAAAAUUUCAAUACUUCUCCUGAAUGUUUGUAUUAGUGACUUCUGUAGUUUUUCCUCACUUUUAUACCAGCAAGGAUUACAAGCCUUUGCAUACUUCUUAUGCUGUGUAAAGACCUAGAUGUGUGAUCAAGUUACCAUGGUCUAAACAAGUUACUACAGGUCAGCUGAGAAGUAGUAAUUACCUGCAUAUG